UCCUGGUUAACCCAGGCAGUCUCAUUAGAGUCCCCAGCAUUACCUGUUGGCAACUAAUGAUAAGGGUUGCGCUCGUUGCGGGACUUAACCCAACACCUCACGGCACGAGCUGACGACAGCCAUGCAGCACCUGUGCAGACCCCCCGAAGGGAAAUAUCAUCUCUGAUAUCGCGGUCUGCAUGUCAAGCCUAGGUAAGGUUCUUCGCGUUGCAUCGAAUUAAACCACAUGCUCCACUGCUUGUGCGGGUCCCCGUCAAUUCUUUUGAGUUUCACCCUUGCGAGCGUACUCCCCAGGCGGCACACUUAUCGCGUUAGCUUCGGCACAACUAGGGUUGAGUCCAGUUACACCAAGUGUGCAUCGUUUACGGCGAGGACUAC
rnacentral:misc_RNA from 1 species